UUACUUCUAGGGAUUCUGGGUCAUUCUCAGAAAUAAGUCUAAGUUGCAAGUUCCCAAGUCCAAAGGCUGUCUCGUAGCCAGCAUCUAGUAUUCCUGGGGUGGAGACCUUAGUACAGGGUUCUAUCUAUGGGAGACUUGGUGCUUACUGAACUUAAGAAAACUUCACCCAGUACAUCUGUUUUGCAUGCUUGCCAAAAAGCAGGUAGGUCACCCAGAGAGAAGAGCGGAUAGGUUUUACCAUCCUAGUUGACUUAGGGAAAACCUCAGGAAAACCUCAUCUAAACACCAUCCCUUUAGCUUGUAACAAUCCCAGUAAUGGAUUCAACAAUUUUGCUGGUGUGUUCCAGGAUAAGUCUUGUAAAAGCAGUAUUUCGGUAUUCAUUAAAGUCACUGAAUUAUUUCUC